rnacentral:rRNA from 1 species
UACAGAGGGGGCGAGCGUUAUUCGGAAUUAUUGGGCGUAAAGAGCGUGUAGGCGGCCAGGUAGGUCUGCUGUGAAAACUCGAGGCUCAACCUCGAGACGUCGGCGGAAACCAUCUGGCUAGAGUCCGGAAGAGGAGAGUGGAAUUCCUGGUGUAGCGGUGAAAUGCGCAGAUAUCGGGAGGAACACCAGUGGCGAAGGCGACUACCUGGCCUGUUCUUGACGCUGAGGCGCGAAAGCUAGGGGAGCAAACGGG